UUAUCAUGUUGGUAUUUACAUGUGGAUAUCGUUUAUGUUUUAGCACUUUCUGGUGUCUGUGGUAACGGUUCUGCAUUAUCAGCAAAAAACAAAGCGAGAAAAAUGUAGAGGGUGUACUGCCUUCAGAGGACUGGCCAGAUGAAAUAUCACCCUUCUCCUGCACAUCCACACAGCUGGAAGAAUGCAACUCACACCAAUCACAACCACGGAAGGAAAUGUGAAGAAUGACUUUGUCUGCUCUUCAGUCGUGCUCUAGGCAGAGGACGCAACCGCAUAUUGUCCAUCACCUCUCUACCACGGGCCCUGGAGGAGCAGUGGACUGAGGCACUCUGGGAUGGAGCCUUGCUAGGAUUCAGGACUCAAUUGAUAG
ensembl:lncRNA